rnacentral:rRNA from 1 species
UACAGAGGUGGCAAGCGUUGUUCGGAAUUACUGGGCGUAAAGGGCGCGUAGGCGGCCUUCUAAGUCGGACGUGAAAGUCCCAGGCUUAACCUGGGAACUGCGUCCGAUACUGGGAGGCUUGGAUUCGGGAGAGGGAUGUGGAAUUCCAGGUGUAGCGGUGAAAUGCGUAGAUAUCUGGAGGAACACCGGUGGCGAAGGCGGCAUCCUGGACCGAGAUCGACGCUGAGGCGCGAAAGCCAGGGGAGCAAACGGG